GCGUGAGUGAUGAAGGCCCUAGGGUUGUAAAGCUCUUUUACCGGAGAAGAUAAUGACGGUAUCCGGAGAAAAAGCCCCGGCUAACUUCGUGCCAGCAGCCGCGGUAAUACGAAGGGGGCUAGCGUUGUUCGGAUUUACUGGGCGUAAAGCGCACGUAGGCGGAUUGUUAAGUUAGGGGUGAAAUCCCAAGGCUCAACCUUGGAACUGCCUUUAAUACUGGCAAUCUUGAGUCCGAGAGAGGUGAGUGGAAUUCCUAGUGUAGAGGUGGAAUUCGU
rnacentral:rRNA from 1 species